UACGGGGGGAGCAAGCGUUGUUCGGAUUUACUGGGCGUAAAGGGCGCGUAGGCGGUCAGCACAAGUCAGUUGUGAAGUCUCCGGGCUUAACUCGGAAAGGUCAACUGAUACUGUGCGACUAGAGUGCAGAAGGGGCAACUGGAAUUCUCGGUGUAGCGGUGAAAUGCGUAGAUAUCUGGAGGAAUACCGGUGGCGAAGGCGGCAUCCUGGACCGGCAUUGACGCUGAGGAGCGAAAGCUAGGGGAGCAAACGGG
rnacentral:rRNA from 1 species